GCCAGUCCCUCCUAAAGUAACACCCUGCAAAAAAUAUUUGCAAUGAGAUACAAUCUCAAACAACAAGGUGUUGGAGACCCAUGAUUAAUCCUUUAAAAGUUAUAUAGGCAGGGUAUAUUUUUAAUAUUAAAUGAAUUCCAUCGUUUAACCGGUCACUAAGAGUUUUGAAUUCGGUAUUUUUCAGAGAAUGUGUUUUUUACCAGGAAUUUCUGACAUUUCCAAUUCCCAGCAAAAAAUUUAUACCACAAAUUACCAACCCAAUCA
rnacentral:misc_RNA from 1 species